rnacentral:rRNA from 1 species
GAUGAACGCUGGCGGCGUGCCUAACACAUGCAAGUCGAACGGAGAUUACGGACGGAAGUUCUCGGAUGGAAGCCUGUAAUUCUUAGUGGCGGACGGGUGAGUAACGCGUGGGCAACCUGCCCUAUACAGGGGGAUAGCAGCUGGAAACGGCUGGUAAGACCGCAUAAGUCGGUUAAAUCGCAUGAUUUGAUUGGGAAAUGAGCAAUCAGGUAUAGGAUGGGCCCGCGUCCGAUUAGCCAGUUGGCAGGGUACAAGGCUACCAGAGCGACGAUCGGUAGACGGACUGAGAGGUCGGACGGCCACAUUGGGACGGAGACACGGCCGGAACUCCUACGGGAGGCAGCAGUGGGGGAUAUUGCACAAUGGAGGGAACUAUGAUGCAGCGACGCCGCGUGAGUGAAGAAGUAAUUCGGUAUGUAAAGCUCUAUCAGCAGGGAAGAUGAUGACGGUACCUAACUAAGAAGCCCCGGCUAACUACGUG